rnacentral:snoRNA from 1 species
AGGCCGCGUACUAGUCCGCCGGCGCUCGCGUCGCCGGGAGCAUUCAAGGACCAGUGAGUCCUUGCAAGAGCAGACCCCCACACAUCUGGCACGCUGGCCGCCCUACCCGCUGGCCGCCCUACCCUUAACCGGGUGACUGAGAUGGGGAGACACCU